CUGCAUCUGGAGUGGGACUAUGUCCCCGCCAACCUGCUUACCCAAGCAAGGUGGUUUAGUUAUGUGGCCGUCCGCGGCAACCAAGUGGGU
rnacentral:ncRNA from 1 species